UACGGAGGGUGCAAGCGUUGUUCGGAAUUACUGGGCGUAAAGCGCGUGUAGGCGGUUGGGCAAGUCGGAUGUGAAAGCCUUUCGCUUAACGGAAGAAGUGCAUUCGAAACUACCCAGCUGGAGUACGGGAGAGGAGAGUGGAAUUCCCGGUGUAGAGGUGAAAUUCGUAGAUAUCGGGAGGAACACCAGUGGCGAAGGCGGCUCUCUGGUCCGAUACUGACGCUGAGACGCGAAAGCGUGGGGAGCAAACAGG
rnacentral:rRNA from 1 species